rnacentral:piRNA from 1 species
UCUGAGGCUUUACUUAGAGCUCCUUGUC